rnacentral:rRNA from 1 species
AGUACGUGAAACUGUGUAGUAGUAAACGGAGGGGCUCUCGAAGUCGGCGUUGACGGUUCAUGGUGGCGGCCGGUGAGCCUGGGGGCUGAUGAUCUGCAAAGACUUCACUCUUAGGUGGCUCUGGUUGACGCUUGCACUCCGUUGGCGCCUCACGCAACGAACCGUUCGGACCGGACCGAGGCUGUGGGUGAAGUUUCAGGCCUAGCUUGGAGCCCCGCAUUCCUGGCUCUGGACCGGACGGGUAUUGGAGCGGUCUCUUAUAGAGAGUGUCUUUUUGGCACGGGCCGCAUCUCUGUUGCGAGUAGGUCGGCGGCCCCUCCGACCCGUCUUG